rnacentral:lncRNA from 1 species
GUCAUGCAGUCAUUGUUUAUUCUGCAACUGAAAUUUUGCCCUCAGUAAGGAGACUGAAGAGCUGUAUUUCAUUCACUUCAUUUGAAAUCGGAUCAGAGAAAAUAAUAUACCUGCAGAUAAGCCACCAAAGUGGAACAAAGGGAGGUGUGAUUCACUUAGUGCAAACCAGAAGCUGAUCCUGUCAGUUUUGAGGAAUAAAACGAACUGGGAAGAGUUCUGUCAGAGCACAGUAAAUUAUGAAUGGGUGGAUGUAUUGCAAGUGGAAACAUCAUUUACAAAAGUACACUGAGCACAGAACAGCAGAAAACUGCAGGUUAUAGUUUGUAUGCCAAAUCCAGCAUUGGAGGUA